GAAAAAGGUUAGUUUUACUGGAGUGAUGGAGUGAGAAGGGCCAUCACUGAGAGCACAGGUUUUAUUAUUGUGAGUGCUCCAAGCUCUGUCUAGGUGGGGACCACCCACCAUUAGCUGGAGGAAGAGCUGGAGCUAACUGGGCACCUGACAGCCAUUUUCCAUUCCAGGAGCGCCACGGAUCACCUGCACCAGUGUCUGCCCUCAGCUGUGUGCCACCCAGGAGGACUGUCCAGCACAGAGUGCCACACAGACCACAGCAAUUCUCAACUGCAGAGGGCUCGGCAUCCCAGGGAGCACUUAUAAAUGUGUGGGGACAUUUCUAGUUGUCACAACAAAUGGAAGGUGUCCUGAUAUUCAGUGUCUGGGAACCAAGGGAUACUGGACAUCCUGGACAGGUUGGGCAUUUCCAUAAACUGGAGAUCCUUCCCUCCACCACAUUAAAGGUUCCCAGGGGAAGCCCACUGACCGAGCCUCUCUGUCCCAGGAUGGAGCCCACUAACGUCUGACAGUCACUUCCCAUGGCCCCACGUGGGAAGCCCUUUUCUCUGCCGUGGAGAGCAGAGGCUUGCUCAGGGCAUUUGAGUGACCGACCAAGCUGCACAAUGGCAUGAUUCUCUGUGUUUCAGGCUCAGCCUUUGCCCGUCACUCAUUUUCCUUCCAUAAUUCAGAGCUUACUUUCUUCAGCACCUGAUUCUGUGCUUUUCAACAAAUGCAUUUAAUUAGUGUGCUGCCUCGGGUAUGGAACUUGCAUUCGCUUAACACAAUGGUCAGUUAAAUUUUGCUCAUUUCACUUUGGCUAGUUGCAAUGCGGGUGACUGAGCGCGUCUCUUCUUGGCGCUCCUGUUUCAUCCUUUGGUUAUAGCAAAGUUCUUUAUUGAUUGGUUGAUUGCGAGGGAUCUGCAGGGCUUCUCCUGUCUCGUGCUGUACCACGUGGGACCCAGUAGCAGUCAGGUAAGCCUGGCAUGUGGGCUGUUGUGGGGACAUUUAUAAUGUGUAUCGGCCAGCCUGGUUCUUGCUGUUUUUUCAUCCAGUAAUUACUCCUUGUUAUUUCUGUGGCUGGUGGGUAAAGCCUCGGCUGGCAGUGAAGAGACCUGCAGCAUGUCAACCCCCUGAGCUGUGCUGACUUGGGAACGGCACAAAGCCUCUCCGCCCUCACUUUUCCCAGCCACACAGUAGGGGCACUGCCGCCUGUCACAGCCAGGUGGUGACUGACAUCCAUUUCUCCCAGGCCAGAGGGGAUGUACUCCUUCUCAGACUAAAGUGGAGGCCACUGGCACUGUCAUGAUCACUGCCUGAAAUAGCAAUGGGUUCUCCUGGGGAGCCCUGACCUCGCAUCUUCAGGACUUUUCCUGGGUGGCUGGGACUCCUGAUUUCCAGCUUAUGAAGUGGACGGGGUGGUGCAGGUGCCAGAUCUCUGGGGCCUGUGCUGCUAGGUGCCCACCCCUCAUGGCCUAGGGCUUAUGUAGGCUUCUGAUGCCAGCAGAACUGGCUCCCAUGCCAGGUGUCCAGCAGGUAGGGUCAAGGUCGGGCUGGAGCUCCUGUUUCAUCAUUUGGUUAUAGCAAAGCUCUUGAUUGAUUGAUUGAUUGAUUGGGUAUAGGGGAUUGAACUCAGGGACACUUGGCCACUGAGCCAUAUCCCCAGUCCUAUUUCGUAGUUUUUUAGAGAUGGGGUCUCACUGAGUUAGCACCUCGCUGUUGCUGAGGCUGGCUUUGAACUGGAGAUCCUCCUGUCUCAGUCUCCUGAGCCACUGGGAUUACAAGUGUGUGCCACUGCACCCAGUCUUCAUGUUUGAUGAUAGCAAGGCUCCUUGUUCCCAAAGCUGUAUCCACCCUUGCUGCAGCACAGUGUUCUGCUAGGGCUAGAUUUCACUGUGACACAGUUGGCUUUUAAUACCACAGUGAUUAGACUUGAAAUCAGGAUAGCCAUCACCCAGCAUAAUAGGCUACUGUCCUGAAACAGUGACACUAAAGGCUUCUGGUCACAUAGGUCACCCGCAAGUGAGGAGACAGUUCUUAUUUCAUCACUGGCCUGAAGGUGCUGUCAUUAAGAUGAACACUCUGCUCUGAUCCACUGCCGACCCACUUAUUUCCUUAUCUCAUGGAUGUUCCCAGAAACCAUCUACUGGAGGUGGUGAGCUCUUCACGUGAGAUCAAUGCAGCUCCUGAAAAAUAACAU
rnacentral:lncRNA from 1 species